CCUACGGGGGACAGCAGUGAGGAAUAUUGGUCAAUGGGCGCGAGCCUGACCCAGCCAAGUAGCGUGAAGGAUGACUGCCCUCCGGGUUGUAAACUUCUUUUAUAAAGGAAUACAGUGAGGCACGUGUGCCUUUUUGUCUGUACUUUAUUACUACGGAUCGGCUAACUCCGUGCCAGCAGCCGCGGUAAUACGUAGGAUCCGAGCGUUAGCCGGAUUUAUUGGGUUUAAAGGGAGCGUAGAUGGGUUGUUAAGUCAGUUGUGAAAGUUUGCGGCUCAACCGUAAAAUUGCAAUUGAUACUGGCAGUCUUGAGUACAGGUGAGGUAGGCGGAAUUCGUAGUGUAGCGGUGAAAUGCUUAGAUAUCACGAAGAACUCCGAUGGCGAAGGCAGCUUACUAAACUGCCACUGACAUUGAUGCUCGAAAGUGUGGGUAUCAAACAGGAUUAGAUACCCCUGUAGUC
rnacentral:rRNA from 1 species